AUUGAACGCUGGCGGAAUGCUUUACACAUGCAAGUCGAGCGGCAGCACGGGGCGAACCCUGGUGGCGAGCGGCGAACGGGUGAGUAAUGCAUCGGAACGUACCCAGUCGUGGGGGAUAACUGUCCGAAAGGACAGCUAAUACCGCAUACGUCCUGAGGGAGAAAGCAGGGGAUCGCAAGACCUUUGCGCGAAUGGAGCGGCCGAUGCCGGAUUAGCUAGUUGGUAGGGUAAAGGCCUACCAAGGCGACGAUCCGUAGCUGGUCUGAGAGGAUGAUCAGCCACACUGGAACUGAGACACGGUCCAGACUCCUACGGGUGGCUG
rnacentral:rRNA from 1 species